UGCAUCUCUCAGGUGGGGGCCAUUCCUACAGCAGUUGGACAGCAGAGAACCACAAAUCACAUUUACAGCAAAGCAGGUGGCCAAUUUUCACAUGUAGCCUAAAUGAAGUUCCACCACACCCUGGGCUGAGUGGGAAGGCUGCCCUUCCUAUAUGUAUGUUAGGCUAGCUUCUCUAGAAGAUAGAGCCUGGGACAAAAAUUGAAAAUGAGAUGUUUCAUUUGGAAGAUGCAAAUCCAUGGCAGCAAAGGUGAGACACAAGGAAGCGAGGCAAAGAAGGAUGCAAAGCCACACUAAGUGGUGUGUUUCCUUGAUGGCUAUUAUGUCACAAACAGCCCUGGAGACACCCAGAAGGUCACUGCACAGGACCUUUCAGCAUGACACGUGGGACUCAGCUGGAUGAGCUGCAAGGCAGACUAUCAUGAAGCAGUCCAUGGAGACAGGAAGAAGGAAUGUACGUGUCCUGCUCCCUCUCAACUCCUAUUUUCCACUGGUCGAAGUUUUCCUAGUGGGAGUUAACUCUUCUGCACUUCAGGAUUGUAUCACCCAGUCCUGAUGGCAGCCUCUCAGGAGACCAGUUCCCACCCCAUGCUGGAGAGUGUUUUCAUCCAAAUCUGGAAGAGUGGCUGACUCUGAAUUUGUUAAAUAAAUGAACUAGCAAGUUAAACCUCCGAAAUCUCAACAUCUGCCCUGGGGGAAAAGCUUAUGCUUUGCAAGGUGCAAACAGACUGUUAGAUGAGAUUGGAAAACUAGAAGCUAUUAUGCAAGUUGGAGAAAUACCAGAAGAACCUUUUAAAUGGAAAACAGGGACCAAGAGAGAUUGUAUAGAGGAGAACGUGAGAGGAAGAAACACAGGAGUGGCUGUGGAUCUGUGAGGGG